rnacentral:rRNA from 1 species
ACGGAGGGUGCAAGCGUUAUCCGGAUUCACUGGGUUUAAAGGGUGCGUAGGAGGGCAGGUAAGUCAGUGGUGAAAUCCUGGGGCUUAACCCCAGAACUGCCGUUGAUACUAUCUGUCUUGAAUACCGUGGAGGUGAGCGGAAUAUGUCAUGUAGCGGUGAAAUGCUUAGAUAUGACAUAGAACACCAAUUGCGAAGGCAGCUCACUACACGAGCAUUGACUCUGAGGCACGAAAGCGUGGGGAUCAAACAGGA